UUACACUUCUGACACAUGCUUGAGGUUUUUGGCCAAUCACAAUGCAACAGAUCAGCUGGCCAAUCAGAGCAUUCUGGGCUUUUUGGAAGGAGGGGCUUUGGAGAAAUUGAUCAUUUGAGGCAGCCUUGGAAUAGAGAUGACGGUGGUGGAAGAAGUGAACUUGAUUUUUCAAGUGGAAAAGUGGAUCAGAAGUUGUUACAAUUACAAUUUUUUAUGAUUUUUAAUAUAGUUACAAUUUAUUUUUAUGAUACAGUGUUCUUGCAAAUUUUUAUUUAUGAAAAGGUUUUCAUGGGUUAUUUUUUUUUUAAUUAAAUGAUAUUUACUGUUUUGAAUGUCCUGAGA